rnacentral:rRNA from 1 species
GACGAACGCUGGCGGCGUGCUUAACACAUGCAAGUCGAACGGAAAGGCCCUGCUUUUGUGGGGUGCUCGAGUGGCGAACGGGUGAGUAACACGUGAGUAACCUGCUCUUGACUUUGGGAUAACUUCAGGAAACUGGGGCUAAUACCGGAUAGGAGCUCCUGCUGCAUGGUGGGGGUUGGAAAGUUUCGGCGGUUGGGGAUGGACUCGCGGCUUAUCAGCUUGUUGGUGGGGUAGUGGCUUACCAAGGCUUUGACGGGUAGCCGGCCUGAGAGGGUGACCGGCCACAUUGGGACUGAGAUACGGCCCAGGCUCCUACGGGAGGCAGCAGUGGGGAAUAUUGCACAAUGGGCGGAAGCCUGAUGCAGCAACGCCGCGUGCGGGAUGACGGCCUUCGGGUUGUAAACCGCUUUCGCCUGUGACGAAGCGUGAGUGACGGUAAUGGGUAAAGAAGCACCGGCUAACUACGUG